GAUCAUACAACUGCGUGACACAGAAGUUGUCAAAGUCAAUCGCUAUAGAAACUAAUACCGAGCAGUGUUUUAAUAAAGUUUACUUGACGCCUGUGAUUCAAUAAUUACAAAUAAAAGUACUUUUAGGAUUUUUUUGAAUUUUGUACUAUACCUUGUAAGUAAGGUAUUAGUUUGUAAGUCAAUAAAAUCAGAAUUAGAAAAGUUUUUCAUGUAAAAUAUGACGAAAGUUGAGAAUAUAUAGUAGGUACCUACCUACAUACUUAUUUCAUAAAGCAGAAUUACAGUUUUAGAGUUAGUUGAAGUGAAUUUAAUUAAUUGUGUUAUUUUUGUAGUGUUUACCGACAUUGCCAUGUACAAUACAAUGCAUGUAGCAUUUGUAUUGUAAGCGGAAACGGAACGAAAAAGAUGUCUUUGUCGAGUUCAUUGCAAAACUUUCGUGUCGCGAUACCAGCAGGUUUUAGAAGAAAUACAAAGUCUUCGAACAACUGCUGUUCGCAAUGAAUUAGAGAUAAGUAAGUUAUAUGAAUGAAUGAAGGAAUUUUCUUCAUUCUCUGCGUUGAGCAAGUGACGUGGACUAUGGGCCUAACCCCUCUCAUUCUGAGAGAAGACUCGAGCUCAGCAGUGAGCCGAAUAUGGUAUUUUUAUAAGGUCUUGGCAGCUUUAAACUUUUAUGCCAAUGGAUCAUACAAAUGGCUUUGUGAUGGCUAAGGCAUCUUUUAGCAAAUGCCUACAUGAAGUCGCUGACGCUCCUGAAUACCCCAGCUGUUUACAAAAAAUGUGUUAAGUUCCCUUUGCAUUAAACACAAAAUCAUUAUAAAUAAAUAUGUAUAAUAAUAACAUAGUGGAUGCUCAAUUUGGUGGUGCAUCUUAUGACUUGUACAUAUGGAACCAGUGCAAUAAGACCACUUGAGGAAAACCUGCCCAAUAGGGACCGCUGUUGGUUGUUAGGUGACCAAUGUUUGCAUGAUGACCCCCAUCUUGGGAGCUGCUCCUAGAUCCCAUGAAGAUAUGCACAACAUUGCUGUGUCAGAAAUACGGUGGAGCCUUGUAGUUGGGUGCAUAUUGUAAAAUGUUUCCUCACUCCAAAACCAUGAACUCUGGUUUCCUAAACCCUCAAGCUAUGCAGCCGAAGGAGGAGACUUAUCACAGGAGAAUCACUAAUAAUUUUGAAGAAGUGAAGAGCUUAACAAUGUUUCAACCAACACCUAAAGAAGCUUUCACUUGGCUGUUAGAUCAAGGGCUGGAUACAGAAAACAGUAAUCCUUGUGAUGGCAGUAUUGUCCAAGGAUUCCUCACUCAAAACCAUGAUAACAAGUUGCUAGAACCCUCAAGCUAUGCAGACAAAGGACUGGAUAUAUUUUUUCGUGACCAAGCCUUCUGUAUAAUUAUUUAUACUUAAACCAUACAAAGCACUAUCUAGUAGGCAUACAGAGUAGCUUGUGUUGUGGGUACUAAGAUAGUUGAUAUUAUAAUAUUCAUUUACAUUUAUAUACUACCUAUAAAUACUUAUAUAAUGUAUAAAUACACACACACUGGAAAAAACCCAUGCUCUUCACACAAAUAUUUUCCAGGUGUGGGAAUCGAACCCAUGACCGUGGAUGCAGGAGCACUACUUACUGCGCCACGCGUAUGUGUUUUUAUUUUAAAGCAAAUUAUUAAAGUUGAUAAUUCAAAUUGUAGUCAUGUUUUUAAUUAAUCUAUAAUUAAUUUUUAAUUUACAUUUUGUUAAAUAUUUACCUAUACUUCAGUCUAUUUUUGUUAGAGGGGGUACCUAUAUGUGUAAGUAGGGUCGUUUCUUGAUUAAAUUAAACUAAAGAAUGAAAGAUAUAUAUUAUAACAAAAUUUGUCAACAACAAUAUAUCAAGUCUGAAUAAAAAAUACCAACACAAGUAAA